UAAAUACUCCUGACUGACCGAUAGUGAACCAGUACCGUGAGGGAAAGGCGAAAAGAACCCCGGCGAGGGGAGUGAAAAAGAACCUGAAACCGUGUACGUACAAGCAGUGGGAGCCUCUUAAUGGGGUGACUGCGUACCUUUUGUAUAAUGGGUCAGCGACUUAUAUUCUGUAGCAAGGUUAACCGAAUAGGGGAGCCGAAGGGAAACCGAGUCUUAACUGGGCGUUAAGUUGCAGGGUAUAGACCCGAAACCCGGUGAUCUAGCCAUGGGCAGGUUGAAGGUUGGGUAACACUAACUGGAGGACCGAACCGACUAAUGUUGAAAAAUUAGCGGAUGACUUGUGGCUGGGGGUGAAAGGCCAAUCAAACCGGGAGAUAGCUGGUUCUCCCCGAAAGCUAUUUAGGUAGCGCCUCGUGAAUUCAUCUCCGGGGGUAGAGCACUGUUUCGGCAAGGGGGUCAUCCCGACUUACCAACCCGAUGCAAACUGCGAAUACCGGAGAAUGUUAUCACGGGAGACACACGGCGGGUGCUAACGUCCGUCGUGAAGAGGGAAACAACCCAGACCGCCAGCUAAGGUCCCAAAGUCAUGGUUAAGUGGGAAACGAUGUGGGAAGGCCCAGACAGCCAGGAUGUUGGCUUAGAAGCAGCCAUCAUUUAAAGAAAGCGUAAUAGCUCACUGGUCGAGUCGGCCUGCGCGGAAGAUGUAACGGGGCUAAACCAUGCACCGAAGCUGCGGCAGCGACACUAUGUGUUGUUGGGUAGGGGAGCG
rnacentral:rRNA from 1 species